AUUGAACGCUGGCGGCAGGCUUAACACAUGCAAGUCGAGCGGGGAAAGGUAGCUUGCUACCUGACCUAGCGGCGGACGGGUGAGUAAUGCCUAGGAAUCUGCCUAUUAGUGGGGGACAACAUUCCGAAAGGAAUGCUAAUACCGCAUACGCCCUACGGGGGAAAGCAGGGGAUCUUCGGACCUUGCGCUAAUAGAUGAGCCUAAGUCAGAUUAGCUAGUUGGUGGGGUAAAGGCCUACCAAGGCGACGAUCUGUAGCGGGUCUGAGAGGAUGAUCCGCCACACUGGGUCUGAGACACGGCCCAGACUCCUACGGGAGGCAGCAGUGGGGAAUAUUGGACAAUGGGCGAAAGCCUGAUCCAGCCAUGCCGCGUGUGUGAAGAAGGCCUUUUGGUUGUAAAGCACUUUAAGCGGGGAGGAGGCUACCGAGAUUAAUACUCUUGGAUAGUGGACGUUACUCGCAGAAUAAGCACCGGCUAACUCUGUGCCAGCCGCCGCCGUAAGAC
rnacentral:rRNA from 1 species